rnacentral:rRNA from 1 species
UACGUAGGGUGCAAGCGUUAAUCGGAAUUACUGGGCGUAAAGCGUGCGCAGGCGGCUAUGCAAGACAGAUGUGAAAUCCCCGGGCUCAACCUGGGAACUGCAUUUGUGACUGCAUGGCUAGAGUACGGUAGAGGGGGAUGGAAUUCCGCGUGUAGCGGUGGAAUGCGUAGAGAUCCGGAAGAACACCGGUGGCGAAGGCGGUCGACUGGGCCAGUACUGACGCUGAGGCGCGACAGCGUGGGGAGCAAACAGG